UGGGGAAUAUUGGACAAUGGGCGAAAGCCUGAUCCAGCCAUGCCGCGUGUGUGAAGAAGGUCUUCGGAUUGUAAAGCACUUUAAGUUGGGAGGAAGGGUUGUAGAUUAAUACUCUGCAAUUUUGACGUUACCGACAGAAUAAGCACCGGCUAACUCUGUGCCAGCAGCCGCGGUAAUACAGAGGGUGCAAGCGUUAAUCGGAAUUACUGGGCGUAAAGCGCGCGUAGGUGGUUAGUUAAGUUGGAUGUGAAAUCCCCGGGCUCAACCUGGGAACUGCAUUCAAAACUGACUGACUAGAGUAUGGUAGAGGGUGGUGGAAUUUCCUGUGUAGCGGUGAAAUGCGUAGAUAUAGGAAGGAACACCAGUGGCGAAGGCGACCACCUGGACUGAUACUGACACUGAGGUGCGAAAGCGUGGGGAGCAAACAGGAUUAGAUACCCUUGUAGUCCCUGAGCGGGCUGGCAAGGCGCAU
rnacentral:rRNA from 1 species